GUACAGGCCCAAUAUUGCCCGGGCCCAUAAACAAAUAAAAUAUAAUAGCCCAACAAAUAAUUUCACAAGCCCAGACCCAAUAGGCCUAAAACUAACCCUAGCCCAACUACCCAAAUUGUUUCAGCAACCCUAGCCUCUUUCUUCAGCCGCCGCUCACCUCACGCAUGCUGAACCACCGCGCAUGCCACCUCGGCCACCAUGCCCCUGACCGUCGCCUAUUCCACGCGUCGCAUAGCACCUACAAUGAAAGCAAAUACAAAGGCAAAAGAAAGCACGUGAAUGAUGGGGGAAGAAAUAAACAAAAGAGCAAACACAAAAUAAAAAUGAAAGAAAAGUUUUGUAGAUCGGCUUUAAAAAGCCAAAAUCUUAUCUUUGUAAAAAGAGGACAGACUGUACUGAAGGGGGGGAACUGAUUGUAUUUGAGGAGGGAUUUUCAAUAUUCAAAAAGGGGGGGAUUGUAUUUCGAAAAAAGAAAAGGAAAAAAAUAGAGAACACCCAAUACAAAAAAUCAAUCAAAAACCAAAACUUUAAAGGUGAUUCCUCUUUUGUUUCAUUUUUUUCUUUAAAAUCUCUGUUGCUUUUAUUUUCUUUUAUAUUUUUUUUGUUUGAAUAAAAAUAAUAAAAAUAAAACAAAAAGAGUAGAAAAAGGAGGGUACUCACCUUCGUUGGCCUCUUCGUCGCCGGAAGAAAUCCGUUCGCGCAACGCUGGCCACUGGCCCACAACGGCGGCGUAAUGAACCUCAGGAAAUCCUAUCGCCGGACAUGGGGAGUGAAGGGAGAGCAAAGAAAACUCUCUGUCUCCUUUUUUUUGUUUUUCUAAAUAAUGCUGAAACAAUAAAAAAAAGAACAAAUUUGGCUUAAAUAAGCCAAGCAAAACGACGGGGGGAAGUUUGAAGGGGGACCCGCAUGCUUUUGAGGCCCUAAUGGGCUAUUUGCGGUUAUGGUCCCUCCUUCUUUCCUAUGCCAUUCUAUUUGGUCCCCUUUUUGCAUUUUUUUUUCAUUUUAAAUUUUGCCUUUUAUUUUACUUCAUUCCCGUUUUAAUCCUUGACUUGGACGGAUGAAGCACAGCGCAUAAUGAUGUGGGAUAUUGUCCCAUUUUAUCCUCGUGCAUUUAAGCGCAUUUUGAUUUAGUCCCUGUUGGUCUUUUUCUUUAUUUGCAAUUGAUACCUCAAAUUUUGAUUUAGUUUCAAUCACACCCUGAAUCCUUUUAUUUUAUUCAUUUAUUUAUUUUGUUAUAUCAAAAUAAGAUUUAUGUGUUUACUCAAUUAUUUUAUAGGCUGUAUAGAUAAGAUUGCUUAUAUGUGUUAUUUAUUUUGGUUUGUUUAAAUAUGUUGGUUAUUUAAAAUUAUAUUAUUAUUUGUUUCAAACUGUUUCUUUAACACUAUGUAUCCUAAAUUGUUGUACAUAUUAUACUAGUUGUUUCUUUGAUGUAUGGUAUAUUACUUAUUCUAAAAUUUUCAUACAUAUGAUCUAUUUUUUUAAAUUGCUUUGUAUAUUGUUGAUAUUAAAUUUCUUAUUUUCACAAUAUUUAUUUUGAAUCUAUUUAUUAUCAUUUUAAAAGUUGUUUUACAUUUUAUUUACUUUAAUUGUUUUUAAAUUUUCUUAAGUUGUUAUAUAUAUUAUUUAAUUCAUUGGUUUUCGAUCAUUAACGUUAGUAUUUAAAUGAUGUAUGUUGCGAGAUUAUUAUCAUUGCGUAUACUAUGAUUCGUUUAUUUGUAUUCUCAUACUAUUCACUUGUGUAGUAUUUUUUAUCAUCGUUUCAUGUCGCACUAUACUUUUUCAUAUCAUCGCCUCAUGAAUCAAGUCUUGUGGCACUUAUCCAAUAAAUCGUUCUGUUUUAAUUCAAGCCAGUGACACGUCGUUUAAAUAUCGAAUUCGCUACCAUUUGAAAAAACAAAAAUCUUCUAAAUAAGGCAAUGUUUCGUGUUUGGAAUCUCGAGAAAUUGUACCCUAACUUACGGGGUUUCGAUUUUCUCGUUAGUUCUAAGUAGCCAAAUAUCCUUUUGAAUUUUUAGAUAUACGAAUUUCUAAUUGAGAUUAAAGACAACUUACGCUCGAGAGUUCAUGGUAUCGUGUCCUAACUUACGGGAUGUGACACUUCGAUAUCUCGAGACGAGGAAAUCUUUAGCAACCACUUUGAUUUAAUUCGAACCUUUUAAAAUUAAUAUUAAGAGAAAAGAUCGUAUUUCAAAUCCGUUCCCAUUUUAAUUUUCACUUUCAAAACCAAAGUCGAUCCCGUUUUCAAAAAAAUGGUUACAACCCUAUCUCGUAUGUUAUGUUUUAUCAUGUUAAUGCACUCCUUCAUGCAUCGGUUUUAAAAAUGAGACUUCAAGGAUUUCAAAAAAUAUAAAGGCAAUGCUUGGUGUUUGGAAAUUUCGAGAAAGUAGUGCCCUAACUUAUUGGGUUGCCACUUUUCUCGUUGAAUUCGAAUAAUUAAGUACCCUUCUAAGUUUUUUGAAGGUUUUCUAAAUGCAAGCCACUAUCUUGGAAUUUCAAAGCUAUAUGUCCUAACUUAUUGGAUAUAGCGUUUUGCUGUUUCGAGAUAGGAAUUUCAAAAAGGGUUAACUUAAUGUCAAUACUUUGACGUGAGUGAAUCCCAAUUUUCAAAGUUAAAAUAUUUUAAAGAGGACUACAUCUUAAUUUUUUUUUUAAAAUUUCUGACUUUAAAGACAUUUGAUAAUCAAUUAGGUACCAAUUUUUGGGCAUUACGAGGGUGCUAAUCCUUCCUCGUACGUAAUUGAGUCCAGAACCCGUUCUUUUAUUUCAUGGACCAAAACUAAUUAUUUUAAAACAAAAUAUUUUAAAGGUGAUCCAAUCACACCUAAAAAUAUUGGUGGCAACUCCCGUUUUUCAUUUUUUAAAAUCGACUCCCAUUUUUCAAAACUCGAUUUGAAAAUGGUUUCGACAGCUUGGCGACUCCAUUGGGGACACGAAUGAGAGAGUCAAGCCACAAGUUGAUUAACUAUUGUCUUUUUAUCAAAAAUUGAAAACUUGGUUUUGAAAUACGAUCCUUUCAUUGCAUUUCAUCGGCUAUUUUUGUGGUACAAUACCUGCUGCGUUAGUUCGAGUCUUUAAAUAGUUUUGCAUAUUGCAUUGCAUGACCGCUGUGGUCACACCCCUUUAAGUGGGAGUGAAAAACUACUCCUUCGUGAGGUUUUCACCUUCGUGCAGGAUAGUGGAUCUCUUUCAGGAUACAUCCAUACCUAUGUCUUCGUGAGUUUUUCAUCUCCGUGCAGCCAUAGGGAAAUGUAUUCCCCUAAAUUGAACUCGGUCUGUAUGAGCCUAUAAUGGGUGAAGAUCGAGGAAUCUGCUAGUUCAGGUACCCUUACUCUAGAACCAAACCCCAUGUAGCGAGCCUUAAGAACCCGCCCUAGGUAGAGCCACUCUGAAACCCUAGUGGUCACCUGAGCAAGUGCUAUAUUUAUUAUUCUUUGUUUGUUUUGAACUGUGUAUAAAUUACUGACUUGCUUUGCUUUACUUUGAUUGUAUUUGCAUGGAAUUUUCAUUAUAAAAGGUGUUGAUUUGUAUUCAGCUCCUAAAUAGAUAGCUUAUCAUGGAAAAGCGGUUUUUUGAUAAAGUAGAAGACAACGCGGCUGUCCAGAUAUGGGCUGAGACAACACAACAAGAGAAAGGUGACAGUCUUACCAAGGGGCACAUGUCAGAGUUAUGGAAUUUUACUCGCAUCAGCGUAACUCAGAAUAAUCUUCAAGAGAUGAAAGAAAUUUAGGGUUAGUGGGAUGAUGAGGUCAAAUAGCUAUUCUAUUGUCAUUAUGGUGAUUUACCUUAUCUGCUCGAUGUCAAGGUAGAUGAACACUUGUUUCGAGCCCUUGCCCAAUAUUGGAAUUCUACCUACAGUUGCUUCACUUUCGGGAAAGUAGAUUUGGUACCUACUAUAGAAGAAUACAUGACCUUGCUCCAUUGCCCAAAGAUUCAGGUUGACAGAAUUUAUGCCAGACCUGCUAACGUCCCAGUAUUUUCAAAAAAGCUGAUUAACAUCACAAGGAUGAGCGAAUAGUGGGUGACAACCCGGAUCAAACAAAAAAGAUAUUGUAAAUGCAUUCCUUGGAGGAACCUGAGGGAUCUAGUCUUAGCGCACCCCGACGUGAAGAAAAGGGUAGAUGUCUUCACCUUGAGCAUUUAUGGACUGGUCAUCUUCCCCAAAGCUUUAGGGCAUGUAGACGAGGCUGUUGCCGACCUUUUUGACAGGCUUGGUAAAGGAACCACAUCUGUACCCGCAAUCUUGGCUGAAACUUUCAGAUCAUUAAAUGCUUGUAGAAGAGCGGGUGAAGGGAGAUUUAUUGGAUGUGCAUAGCUCUUGCUAUCCUGGUUCCACAACCAUUUUUGGAAAGUGGAAAAGGUCUCGUAUUUUAUCUUCUCUAAAAAAUACUCUCCGCUGAAAGAGUUAGUUGCUACACCGAGGCGAGAUGAUGUGACAGAAGAAAAUUGGAUGACGGUUCUCCAAAAUCUACAAGAAGAAGAUGUUGAAUAGAGAGCCCCGUGGAUGGUUCCUGAUGAAAUAUUAUACCGAUGCAGAGACUUCGAUUGGGUUCCCUUGUUAGGAGUAUGGGGGGCCGUCAGGUAUGCUCCUCUGCUUGCAUUGCGACAAUACAGAUCCAGACAGUUUACACCACCAACAUACGGGUUAGCCCAGUGCGAGUUCGUGUUCACAGGGAAUAAUUACAAAGAGAAAGUUCGCAAGAUAUCAAAUGCUCGAAACCAGACUCGUAGAAUGAAGAAGUUUGCUGCCAAUCCCAUGACUAAUCCUGAGUACGACCGAUGGUGGAAUCAGAGGAUUAACGACAACAUCCCUACAUCAAAUCAAGGGAAUCUUCAGUCGAUAGAAGAGCACUUGAAAGUAAUCCCAUCUGAGCUAGAAAUCAUCAGGCAAGAUUUCGAGAGAAAGAUUCUGGAGCUAGAAAAAAGGAUCAAGCAGUUGGAAGAAGAAAAGAUGCAGUUAGGGUUAGAUGUCGAUGUCCAGAAACUAUAAGCUGAAAAACUCAGAAAAGGGAAAAACAAGGCUGAAGAGGACUUAGACAGUUUGAAAAAGGACUAUAAGAAGCUGAGCAGAUCAAUGAGAACCGCUGGGUUAGGAAAAACAUCCGAACAAUGGCGACAUGAAGUUAAAGAAGAACAAAGCAAAACCAACCAGUGGGAAGAAAGAUUUCACGAUGCUCAAGCUCGAGAAGGUGCACUGAAAAGAAGUUUGGUAGAAAGCCAGAAUGAGAAAGAAGGGUUAAAGAUCUGGGUAUCAGAGUUAGAGAGGUCUUUGUAUCAAUAUCGCUCGCGUAACUCUGCAAUCGAGUUGAAAGCUAGUCAGAACAGAAUCGAAGAAUUAAAAGAGAAUAUAUAAGAACUCAAAACAGCGCUGCAAAAUCGUGAACUUCAGAUAGAACUCCUCUAGGUAAAUAACGAGCGAUGGAAGGAGCAACUUCAUCAAUCUCAAGACCAAGUCAGGAGAAGGGACUACGUCAUGGGUGAAGCUUUGACUCAAGUGCGAGAAGUGGCUCAUCACUUACAAACAUUAGCAGUACAAGCCGAUGUGCUGAGUUUAAAAUACGAGUCAGGAUCAGACCGAGGACGAGAGCUAGCUUGGCUUCUUAGGCAGGUCAAGGCCUUAAGUAUCAGGGCCAAGCCUUAUAUGUAAUCUGUUUUAUGUAAAGAAACUUAUUUUCUAGAAAAGUUACUCUAAUGAAAUCGAAUUGGAAUCAACGCUUUUUUGCAGUCAUCGCAUUCAUUGCAUUCAUGCAUCAGUAUUGCAUCAUACGCACUAAAACUCACAAGAAACCCUAAAAAUCAUGCUAGUUACCAUGGAACAUCGUUACGGUACAAGGGGAAAAACAAGGGCAAUGGACCAAAGGUUAGAGAGAUUGGAAUAAAUGCAAAAAGAGAUGCAGGAUCAAUUACAAGCACGUAUGGGAGAACAGCUUGCCAAAAUCCAGCAAGAUAUGAGGGACCAUAUGUUGGAGUCCCAGAAAAGCAUGAUGGACCAAUUAACUCGUCUAUUGGCUAGCGGAUUAGAAAAAGGGAAAAGCCCUUUGAUCAAUGCGGGAGAAGAUAGUGAAAACCCUACCUACCCUCCGGGUUUUGCCCCAGCGGACGUUCAGACACAACUUGAUAUGUACCCAAGAAAGCCAUCAGUCACAAUUAGGCCCCAACCAUUUCAGGCCGGUGUUUCGACACUGAUGAAUUAUCAGGCCAGCUCGGGCUCUAAUACGAGGCAUAACCCGACCAAUCCUGUGGUCCUCAAUCUCGAUGAAGUAACAAAAGAAGAAAAGACAAGGGUAGAACUCCCGAGAGAGCUUGAAGAAAGGUGUAGAUGGUUGGAAGAAAAAUUUAAAGAAAUGGAAAGCACCGACUAUCAUGGUGGAAUCGAUGCUAAGGAAUUAAGUUUGGUUCCAGACCUGAUACUCCCUCCCAAGUUCAAAAAUCCAGAAUUUGAGAAAUACAACGGGACUAGCUGUCCCGAAGCUCACAUCACUAUGUUCUACAGACGAAUGGCAGGCCAUGUCAAUAAUGACCAACUAUUAAUUCACUGCUUCCAAGAAAGUCUGGUUGGGGCCGCUUCUAGAUAGUACAACCAGUUGAGUCACGCCCAGAUCAGUUCAAGGAAAGAUUUAGCACAAGCCUUCAUGAAGCAGUACGGUCAUGUGGCAGACAUAGUCCCUGAUAGAAUCACUUUAUAGAAUAUGGAGAAAAAGCAUAAUGAAAGCUUUAGGUAGUACGCCCAGCGAUGGAGAGAAGUGGCCACACAGGUCCAACCCCCUCUGUUGGAAAAGGAGACCACUAUGCUCUUCAUCAAUACCCUGAAGGCACCUUUUAUUAACCACAUGCUGGGUAGCGCAACCAAGAUUUUUUCAGACAUAGUAAUGUCUGGAGAAAUGAUAGAAAAUGCCAUAAGAUGUGGGAAAAUAGAGGCUGGGGAAAAUGCUAAGAGGUCAGGCCAAGAAAGAAAGAGCACGAGGUGAAUAAUGUGAGCUCAUAUUUGAAAUCGAUCACUGUAAUCCAACCAAGGUCGACAACUACUGGACAGCAGGGCCCACCCAGACAAGAGCCCAACACAAAACAAAAUAGGGAGAAACUUCAAUUUACGCCCAUUCCAAUGGCGUACAAGGAGUUAUACCAGAGUUUAUUUGAUGCACAUGUCGUGUCUCCCUUCUAUCUGAAGCCAAUGCAACCUCUAUACCCCAAAUGGUAUGACGCAAAUGCCCAAUGCGAAUACCAUGCGGGAGCCACAGGACACUCGAUAGAAAAUUGCACCACUUUCAAGAAAUUGGUUGAAAGACUCAUCAACAUGGGGAUUGUGAAAUUUGAUAAUGCAUCCAAUACAGAGAACCCAUUACCUAACCAUGGGGAUAAGGGAAUAAAUGCGAUAAUCGAGAGUUCGGGGAAAGAAAUUAAGAUGAGUAUUGCAGAAGUGAAUACCCCGUUGGAGGAAGUUUCGAAGAAAAUGGUGGAAAGAGGGUUGAUAGCAUAGAAUUCAAGGGUUAGACCUCGAGAAGCGAAGAAUUAUUGUGAGUUCCACGAUCAAGAGGAUCACGAGAUUCAGAAAUGCAGCCAAUUCAGGGCUUUAGUACAAGGAUUGAUGGAUAAUAAGGAGCUAGAAUUCUUCGAAUAUGUCGAAAGCCCGGAAGAAGCAGAUGUCCGUGCCUCCGAAGAGCGGUCGAUGAAAGAUGUUUACAAGUCAACCACCCAAUGGUUAUCAUAUCACGUCCGAGAAUGAAUGAAGCCGAGGCACAAGUUGCGCCAAAGGUCGUAAUCUGGAAGCCCAUUGCCUUCCCUUACAAGGAUAGCAAAAGGGUACCGUGGAACUAUAGCUACAAUGUGACAUUCCUGGGAGAGGAGACCCCGAUUAAUGCAUCAGAGGAAGUUCAAGACGAAGGUUUUUAUACGCGCAGCGGAAGGCGUUAUACCCCAAUACAAAAUCCGAGCAGGUUAAAGAAAAAUCAUUAGCAAUUGAGCAAAAGAAAGAGAAGCUGGUGGGGCCUGAACCAACUGUUAACGAAUCAGUGACUGAAAAAGAAGCCAAGGAAUUCUUAAAAUUUCUAAAGCACAGCGAAUAUAGUGUCUUAGAACAGUUGCACAAACAACCAGCGCGUAUAUUGGUACUGGCCUUACUUUUAAGCUCCGAAACCCAUCGCAGCGCAUUGAUUAAGGUGCUGAAUGAAACUUAUGUUGCUAACGAUAUCUCUGUAAACAAAAUGGACCGCUUAGUCAACAAUAUAAGUACCGAAAACUUCAUUUUCUUCAAUGAUGAUGAGGUACCGCCAGGGGGUCGAGGAUCAACUAAAGUUUUGCACAUCACGACCCGCUGUAAAGGGUACACGUUACCGGGGGUAUUGUUUGACAAUGGGUCUGCACUGAAUGUCCUACCCCUAUCUACGCUGAGUACGUUGCCAGUGGAUAGUUCCCAUAUGAAGACAUGCCAAAGUGUAGUGAGAGCAUUUGAUGGCACGGAAAAGAAGGUAAUAGGGAGAAUUGAAGUACCCCUCUUAAUCAGACCGAGCACAUACGAGGUAGAUUUCUUGGUCAUGGACAUUAAGCCUUCAUGUAAUUGCCUAUUGGGGAGACCGUAGAUACACUCGGCGGGGGCAGUCCCUUCAUCGCUGCAUCAAAAGUUGAAAUUAGUGACCGAAGGUCGGUUAGUAAUGAUCAAUGCUGAAGAGGACAUCAUCGCAGCAAUAACCGGUGACGCCCCAUAUCUGGAGGCAAAUGAUGAAGCAAUCGAGUGCUCUUUUCGAUCUUUGGAGUUUGUGAACGCGACGUUCAUCACCAAAGGAAAUAAGAUUCCAAUGCCCAGGUUAUCUGAGACUACAAGAAUGGGACUACGAUUAACUAUUGGAAAAGGGGCUCUACCCGGAAGAGGACUCGAGAGAUACCUCUAGGGAAGGAUUAAUGUACUAAUGAUGAAAGACAAACAAGGCCGUUUUGGGUUAGGGUUUAAGCCAGACAUGAAACAAAGAAAGAAGGAACUUGAGAAGAAGCAAGAAACAAGGAGAGCACGAUUGAGCGGGGGAGAAAUAGAAUGGGAACCAAUGAUCUUCCCCUAUAUAUAAAAAACUUUUGUGUUUGGAGGGGUCAUUCACUCUGAGUGGAAGACGUCAGGAAAGGAAAUCUUGGAAGGAAUGAUGGAGAGUUUGGACAUCAACGCCACAUAUAAAGAAGGGACGGGGGUAGAGAAUUUGUCAGGCAUUUGCCCCUAUGAGCCGAGAAGUGUUCUGAAUAAUUGGACUGCGGAAGAGAUUCCUAUAGUCUUUAGAACUAACUCAGAGUAAUGUUCAAAACACACUUAUUGCUCCAGGCCUAGGAGUAAUAAGUUUUCUUUUGUGAAAUAGGCUUAUGUUCGAAAUCGUUAUUUCAAUAAAAUGCAUCCUUUUGACUUAUUCCGUGCAAAUAUACUUUUAUUCUUUCAUUCAUGAUCAUACCAUACAUAUCAUUGUUCUUAGAUUCUCUUGUUCUUUGUAUCUUCCUUCGCUCCUACAACAGGUCUCUAGAUAUCAAUGAUGUGAGUGACGUUGCUACUAAUUCAGAGUCUCCUUUUGAGCGGGAUAUGUGUCUAGAAGGAUCUCAGGACUUUAAGGAUGACAGAGAUUGUAACUUAUCCCCUGAUUUGUUAAGGAUGGUAAAACAUGAGGAGAAAUAGAUUCUACCCCACGAAGAGACCGUAGAAGUCGUGAACUUGGGAGAUGAACUAGAAAGGAAAGAAGUAAAGAUCGGAGCUUGCAUUACCACAGAGACAAAGUGGGACCUUAUUGAGUUACUCCAAGAGUUCAAGGAUGUAUUUGCAUGGUCAUAUCAAGAUAUGCCUGGGUUAAGUACUAACAUUGUGGUACACAGGCUCCCCAUCAAAGAAGAAUACAAACCAGUCCAGUAAAAGCUUCGAAGGAUGCGGCCCGAUGUUUUGUUGAAAAUAAAAGAAGAGGUCAAGAAGCAAUUUGAUGCUGGUUUCUUACAAGUAGUUAAGUACUCAGAAUGGGUAGCCAACAUCGUCCCCGUCCCUAAAAAAUAUGGAAAAGUACGGAUGUGUGUAGACUACAGAGACUUAAACAAAGCUAGCCCAAAGGAUAAUUACCCGUUGCCUCAUAUUGACACCUUAGUGGAUAAAACGGCAGGCUACUCACUCUUCUCCUUCCUGGAUUGUUUCUCGGGGUACAAUCAGAUUAAGAUGCAUCCUAAAGACAUGAAUAAAACCACAUUCGUGACCAUGUGGGGAACCUUUUGCUAUAAGGUGAUGCCGUUCGGAUUGAAAAAUGCGGGAGCAACAUAUCAGAGAGCCAUGGUAACCCUAUUCCAUGAUAUGAUGCAUAAAGAAAUUGAAGUCUACAUCGACGACAUGAUCACCAAAUCUCGGACUGAAGAAGAGCAUGUGCAAGUCUUGAGGAAAUUAUUUUUGAGGUUGAGGAAAUUCCAGCUGAAACUCAAUCCAGCGAAGUGUACCUUCGGGGCCAGGUCUGGAAAACUACUAGGAUUCGUAGUCAGUGAAAAAGGGAUUGAGAUUGACCCAGAUAAAGUCAAAGCCAUACAAGAGUUACCUUCACCACGUACUCAGAAAGAUGUUCGGGGAUUCCUAGGAAGAUUAAAUUACAUCGCUCGGUUUAUUUCACAACUAACCGAGAAAUGUGACCCCAUAUUCCGUCUCCCUAAAAAACACAACCCUGGUGUUUGGGAUGAGGAAUGCUAGAAGACGUUCGACAAAGUUAAGCAAUAUUUGUCUAAUGCUCCAGUGUUGACACCACCUAGUCCAGAUAAGCCACUGAUACUGUAUUUGACGGUAUUUGAAAAUUCUAUGGGAUGCGUGCUUGGCCAACACGAUGAAUCAGGAAGGAAAGAAAGAGCGAUAUAUUACCUCAGUAAAAAGUUUACUGAAUGUGAGACGAGAUACUUGUUCAUUGAAAAGUUGUGUUGUGCCUUAAUCUGGACAACCCGAAGACUGAGACAAUACAUGUUGUAUCACACAACUUGGCUAGUCUCUAAAAUGGACCCUCUGAAGUACUUGAUGGAGUCGACUGCCUUGAACAGGAGAAUGGCCCGAUGGUAAAUUCUACUUUCUGAAUUCAAUAUAGUCUAUGUGAACCCGAAGGCCGUAAAAGGGAGUGCGAUAGCAGAUUUCCUAGCCAGCAGAGCCCUAGAGGACUACGAGCCUCUAAACUUUAACUUCCCAAAUAAAUAUCUAAUGUACAUAGCAACCACUGAAGAAGACCCUCAAGAAAGUCAUCCUUGGAAGCUAAACUUUGAUGGAGCAUCAAAUGCCAUGGGCAAUGGUAUCGGGGCAGUCCUGGUAUCCCCGAACGGAGAUCAUUAUCCCUUCACUAGUAAAUUAGAUUUUGACUGCACGAACAAUAUGGCAGAAUACGAAGCAUGCAUCAUGGGAAUACGUGCGGCCAUAGAACAUAAAAUCAAGGUGUUAGAGGUAUAUGGAGAUUCUGCCCUAGUGAUUUAUCAACUCAAAGGUGAAUGGGAGACGAGAGACCCCAAGUUGAUCAAUUAUCGAAGGCUGAUCCUUGAAUUAAUUAAAGAAUUUGAUGAUAUUGUCUUCUGCUACCUCUCGCGAGAGGAAAAUCAGAUGGCUAACGCCCUCGCAACUUUAGCUUCUAUGAUCAAGGUGAACCAACCAGAGGAUGUGAAACUAAUCCAAAUGAGCAUUUACGAGGCCCCGGCUUAUUGUUACAACCUCGAAGAAGAAGAAGAAAAUGAUGAUCACCAUUGGUACCAUGAUAUCCUGCGAUAUGUGAAGAAUCGUGAGUACCCCGACCAAGCUACUGAGAACGAUAAAAGAACGUUGAGAAGACUGGCCCAUGACUAUGUCUUAGAUGGAGAGAUCCUAUACAAAAGAAGGAAGAAUCAAGUACUGUUGAGAUGUGUAGAUGCUAUAGAGGCUAAGAAAAUCUUAGAGGAAGUCCAUGAGGGCGUCUGUGGGACACAUGCUAAUGGCUUCACAAUGGCUAGGCAAAUUAUGAGAUUUGGUUAUUAUUGGUCCACCAUGGAAGGAGAUUGUGUUAACUACGCCAAAAGAUGUCAUAAGUGCCAAAUCUAUGGAGACAAGAUUAAUGUACCUCCUUCACCUCUGCAUGUCAUGACUUCGCCAUGGCCUUUCUCGAUGUGGGGCAUGGAUGUGAUUGGGCCAAUUUCACCAAAAGCUUCAAAUGGGCAUCGUUUCAUCUUUGUGGUCAUCGAUUAUUUCACCAAGUGGGUGGAAGCCGCUUCAUAUCCCAAUGUUACAAAAUUGGCAGUUAGCAAGUUCUUAAAAAAGGAAAUCAUUUGUCGAUAUGGAAUGCCGAAAAGGAUCAUAUCUGACAACGCAUUGAAUUUGAACAAUAGCACGAUAGCGAAGGUCUGUAGUCAGUUCAAGAUUAGACACCACAACUCGUUACCGUAUCGCCCGAAGAUGAACGGUGCAGUCAAAGCAGCCAAUAAGAACAUCAAGAAGAUUGUGGGAAAGAUGACAGAAACUUAUAAAGAUUGGCAUGAGAAGCUACCAUUCGCCCUCUAUGCUUAUCGAACGUCUGUCAGGACUUCCACCGGAGCAACGCCUUUCUCAUUGGUCUAUGGAAUGGAGGCAAUUUUACCUAUCGAGGUCGAGAUCCCUUCCCUCAGAGUUUUGUCAGAGGUAAAGUUGGAUGAAGCAGAAUGGAUCCAGUCCCGAUAUGACCAGUUGAAUUUGAUUGAAGAAAAUAGGCUAAGGGCUAUCCGUCAUGGUCAAAUGUACCAAAAGCGAAUGAUGCGAGCUUACAACAAAAAGGUUCAUCCUAGAGAAUUCCACGAGGGAGACCUAGUAUUGAAAAAGAUCCUCACCAUAGAAAAGGAUUUCAGGGGAAAAUGGACGCCGAAUUGGGAAGGACCUUAUGUGGUAAAGAAAGCCUUUUCGGGAGGAGCAUUAAUAUUGGCCGAAAUGGAUGGCAAGACUUUACCCAAUCCCGUGAAUUCAGAUUCGGUUAAAAAAUACUUCACCUAAAAAAAUAGGGAGAGGCUAGGGUGAAAACUCGCAAAGAGCACCUUGGGACCAAAGGGAUUUUAAAUUGAAAACCCGUAAAGGGCGAUUCAAAUUUUGAUCAAAAGUGGAGCAUGCGAUGGUCUAAUGAUACCCAAAUUAACAAGGAAGAGAGAUGUUACGUCUUGGGGCAUCUACAAGGGUACUAUAGAUCCCCUAAACACAUGUCGGGCAAAAAGGGUGUCCUCAAGAAGUUAGCACAGAGAAGCUCACGCUGCGAUAUCUGGGGCACCUAUUCCCUUCUUAUUCAUUUUGUAUUCCAGCAAUGUUUGUUGACCGUGAUGAAUCUACUCCCUUCAGAUUUUGUUUUUGAUAAAUUUCAGUUCUAUCAUUAUAAUCUUUUUCAAGCAUUUUGCAUUGAAAUGAUGAUUAAUGGACUAAAAGCCAUUUUCGCAAAAAGAGUUCUGCAUAUUACUCUGAAAGUUUCUAAAUAGUAUAGGGACCUAGAACAGGACUAUUAUUUAGAACUAACCAAACUCAAAUAUUCGAAGCAUGUGAGAAGAAAGAGUUUAAAUUGGGACUGCCUUUUCGGGUUUUCUGUUCAAAAUUUGAGCUGAACAAGAAGAUAGGGUACCAUUUCAGUGAAAGAACCUUGAUGAACAAAGAUCAAUGGCCACCUAAACAUUAAAAGGGAUUCACGCUCACAACAUGUUGCACCCAUACAUUCAAAGAUCAUUCAUAAUGCAUCUAAUUAGGAGCAUUUGAUUCAUUUUGAUCAUAGCAUCCUAAUUCUUUGGCAUAAGCAUAAAUACAUGAAACUGAUUCUACAGGUCAUGUUCCUAGAAUCAGUGAAUUCACCAAGCCUUAACCCCCUAAGCAGUAGGGUAAUAGGUUGAAUUUACAGAUCUUAACCCCCUAAGCAGUAGGGAAACAGAUCGAAGGCGACUAGCUUUAGCCCCCUAAGCAGUAGGGUAACAAGCUGAAGUUCAUAGAUCUUAUCACCCUAAGCAGUAAGGAAACAGAUCGAAGAUAAUGAACUUUAACCCCCUAACCAGUAGGGUAACAAGCCAAAUUUACAAACCGUAAACCCCUAAGUAGUAGGGUAAUAGUCUGAAAAUUACAGAUCUUGUCUCUCUGAAGUUAUAGUGGAACAGAUCGAAUCCAGCAAGUUUGGCAUCUCCACUUCAAUGAAGAGCAGAUACAUAGCAGAUCUGACCUUCAGAUGUUUAUACUGAAGCAAGAUCCAAGAGGAUCUGGCAUCCUUGUGCUUACAAGGAACAAAUCAAAGACAUAGCAGAUUUGACUUUCGGAUGUUCCCACACCAAAGCAGAUCCAAGAUAACAGAUCUGACAUCUCUAUUUUGACGGAGAGCAGAUACAUAGCAGAUCCAACCUUCAGAUGAUUUCACUGAAGCAGAUCUAAGACGAUUUGGCAUCUCUGUAUUGUCAGAAACCAAAUCGAAAAGGCAGAUUUGGCAUCUCUGUGUUUAUAGGGAACAAGCUGAAGAUAACAGGUUUGGCGUCUCUGUGUUGACAGGAGAGUAGACAAAAGAUAGUAGAUAUCGCAUUCCUGAGUUGCAGUAAAGCAGAUUGAAGCCGUCAAGAGGCCAUUUAAAGAAGAUCAGGAUCAAGAACUCAUGACUCGGCAAGCCUAGGCAAAAUUGGUCCUUUUAUAAUCUUUGCUCUAUUCUCGUUACACGACAAUGAGCAAAGAGGGGCAGCUGUACAGGCCCAAUAUUGCCCGGGCCCAUAAACAAAUAAAAUAUAACAGCCCAACAAAUAAUUUCACAAGCCCAGACCCAACAGGCCUAAAACUAACCCUAGCCCAACUACCCAAAUUGUUUCAGCAACCCUAGCCUCUUUCUUCAGCCGCUGCUCACCCCACGCAUGCUGAACCACUGCGCAUGCCACCUCGGCCACCAUGCCCCUGACCGUCGCAUCUUCCACACGUCGCAUAGCACCUACAAUGAAAGCAAAUACAAAGGCAAAAGAAAGCACGUGAAUGAUGGGGGAAGAAAUAAACAAAAGAGCAAACACAAAAAAAAAUGAAAGAAAUGUUUUGUAGAUCGGCUUUAAAAAGCCAAAAUCUUAUCUUUGUAAAAAGAGGACAGAUUGUACUGAAGGGGGGGAACUGAUUGUAUUUGAGGAGGGAUUUUCAAUAUUCAAAAAGGGGGGGAUUGUAUUUCGAAAAAAGAAAAUGAAAAAAAAACAGAGAGCUCCCAAUACAAAAAAUCAAUCAAAAACCAAAACUUUAAAGGUGAUUCCUCUUUUGUUUCAUUUUUUUCUUUAAAAUCUCUGUUGCUUUUAUUUUCUUUUAUGUUUUUUUGUUUGAAUAAAAAUAAUAAAAAUAAAACAAAAAGAGUAGAAAAAGGAGGGUACUCACAUUCGUUGGCCUCUU
rnacentral:lncRNA from 1 species